CUGUUCUUCCUCUUGGUGACUUUUGCGAUUUCUCUAAUAACUCUUAUCUUCUCCUAUUAACUUCAUCAAUAACUGAAUCCUCUUCAACUUUCUCUCUCUCUCUCUCUCUCUCUCUCUAUGAGGAACAUGAAAGUGAAAAAGGAGUUUUACAAAAACUCGGUUUAGGUUUCAAUCGAUCUCAAUGAUCCAUAAUGGAAAAGAAAGUAGCAUAGCUACUUGGUGUGAAGGCUGUGUUUCUUCUCCCCUGUCCAUGGUCGAAUCGCUCCUACUGUUGAAUGUUUGAUGAAGUUUCUUUUCCGGAGGGGUGGAACAUGUGAGUCAGACUCAACGUCAACCUAACUAUAGCAAUGAGCAGAUAAGAACCUCAAAUGCUCUUGCUCUUUUUUAUAUAAUCUGUUUUAUUUAUGCCGAAGAAAGAGUUAAAAUAAAGGUUUUAACUUUCUCCUGCUCUCUGCUCUCAGCCAGUAUGCUAGAUCCAAGGUUUUAACUUGGCGGUCCACACAAUGCCACUGCCUACAAUCAACAGCCCCGUUCCACUUCUUUCUUCUCAGACAAAGGAUCCUGGGAAUCUCAGUAUGCUGCCUUGGCUUCUCUACCCUCGAUGAUGGAGUAGGUGGUGCCUCGGUUUUAGGGUCUGGUUUUCAUUUUGUGGUCUCUGAUGGCGUUAGAUGUGGCUAUCUCUGGCGUCGGUUGAUCUGGGCAUCGGCGGGGAUUGGUCUUUUCUGUUGCCGUUGUCGUUUUGUCUUUGUUUUGUAACUUGUAUUGGCUUUGUUUCCGGAUUGGAAGUUCAACGGUCAGCUGCUACCGGAUUCGAAGGUCGACGGUGUGCACUUCUCAUGGAGACACAACAACGCCUCUAUCAUUCAAUGCUCUUUCGGUUCUUUUGAUCAGAAUUUUAUUCUGAUUAUGUUCGUGCUUCAGUAUAUGCUCUGCAGUUUCAAGCUGUUAUCUGAGUGGUGAAGAUGAUAAAGACACAUACACAGUGAGAGAUUUGGUUUAUCCUCUUUCAUGUCGUAGAAAAUUAGUGUCUUUCAACUAAGAUCUAGAAAUUUACACAUUACUAUAGCCCCUAUUGGUGUGCAUGUAAUUGUUUAGUUUCUAAUAUACUUCUACUGUAUUUCGAUUUUACCUUGUGGUAAAACGGUGUUUGAACUUUAUGAAGUAAAAUAUUCUUCAGUGUUAAAAAAAAAA